AAGUUUUUAUUAGUUUCAAUUUCUCGUUUGUAUAGCUUGGAAGAAUAAAGUCAUAACCGGGCAUUUGACGAGCGCAUUGUUUUGUAUUCAUUGAGAUUAAGUGCCUACCUCUCAAAAAUGUGUAAAUGUUUGGCAGGAAAUGUAGCGUGUUGCUGCUUCAAUUGCGCGCUCAGUGUUCUAAUAUCAAUUCUAAGCGCAUUUUUUGUGGUGUUCCUAAUAGUCGGCGUAAUAGUGUACUUUGUUUAUUAUCAUGAGCAAGAAAAUGACACUGCAAGCAAAAUAAGGGACGGGCUAAAAGCAGGGCUUGACAAUGGAUUGGAUAAAAUAAAUGAUGCUUUAUCAAGAAAAUAAGGACUACUGUGCCAUGCCAGGCAUAAAAAUGCCCAACACUAUUUUAAAAUGAAUCUCGAUUGCAUUGCAUAAAAUUAUAUUACACACUACAUCUUCAAAACCUUGUAAGCAACGCUCAUAAAUCAAAAAGAUUAAAUUGAUGGCCUAAUUAUAAUUAAAUAUUCUAAACAAAGACAAAUCUAUAUGUAGGUACAAAUAUGCUCUGAAUUAGUAUACAUAGACCUCAUCAUAGACCUCUCAUAUGUAACAUUUAAUAUGUCAUAUUCUGAAAAAAGAAAAGAAACUGUCCUUGCUCGACUUCGUUAAUUUUCAGGAAUGCACUUUUUUACAGUAUUAUUUAUUAUGUAUUGAAAUUGAUAUCAAAUACGAAUGUAUGUUUCUAGAAGCCUUUUGUUUUAAUUUAAAACUCUCAAUGCAACUGCAAUAAAAACAGUUCAUUUAAUUGAUUGUAUGCAUUGUACCAUAGCAUAAAAGAAAUAAAAAUAAUUAUGUUUCCCCAGCAAGUAUACAAAUGUUAACAACGGAACAAUACGAACAUAUGCCAAUGUUAAGUCCAAAAUUAUUCCGCAUUUGUACACUUGUGAUCAACACUUCUGGAUUUUACUAUAACUCACUUUAAUUUCUGCACCAGGACAUGAAUUCGUUAAGAGUAAAAUUUGUCAAACAUCAAUAAUCAAAUUUUCUAUAAACAGUGAUUUUUAUGAAGAUUAUGCUUCCUAUAAUAAAUAAUUUUUAUUCAUGUACAACACAAUUUCAGACAUACUAAUAUAUAUUAAAUAUUUGUUGUAAGGGAAUAAUCAAUUACACGGACAUCAUUUUUACAUCAAACGCAUUCGAAUGUUUUUAUGCAAACAAAUGUGAGUAAUAAACGAUGAGCUUUGUAAAUGAAAGUUAUGUGAAACAAUAAAUGUGCAUUUAUAUAUGUACUAUCUAUAUUCAGUUUUAAGCAAAAUUUUGUUAUUUAAUAGUGUACAAUUUCGAGAUAAUAUUCUUUUUUACAAUAAACUUUAUACUUACCGGUAAAAUAAAAUAUAAUGUU